AUCGGAGAGAAGCAAAUUAAGGAUUAGCAUUUAGAAGUAAUGGCUCCAGGUCUGGAAGAACAGCAAAACCACCAAGGUGGCCACCAAAAUCUUCAACAGAGUCUUGCUAUUUACAAGGAUAUUCUUGAAACAAAGGAGCCUGAACCAACAAAGGAGCAGCAAAACCAAGUUGGUAGACACCAGGAAAUUGGACACAAGAGUCUCUUACAGAGUGAUGCUCUUUACCAGUAUAUACUGGAGACUAGUGUAUAUCCUGGGGAGCCUGAACCAAUGAAAGAGCUCCGAGAAUUGACAGCAAAUCAUCCAUGGAACAUCAUGACUACUUCAGCUGAUGAAGGGCAAUUCUUGAGCAUGCUUCUGAAGCUCAUCAAUGCCAAGAACACUAUGGAAAUUGGUGUUUACACUGGCUACUCUCUUCUUGCCACUGCUCUUGCUCUUCCUGAUGA
rnacentral:misc_RNA from 1 species